UCGAUGACAAGUAGGUUAGUUCGAGGUUAUUGCGGGGUGUGUUUUUGUGAUUUUAUCUGUAAAUAUUAUUACAUUGUGAUUGCAAUUAUAAAAAAUUCCGAAAGUGAAAAACAAUCGUCGCGGUCGGAGACAUCCUGCAAUUUCCAACACUCCAAGAUUCCAGAAUGAAAACGAAAGUAAAUAAAUGAUAAGUAAUGGCGUUGUUUAUGAAAAAUAAAAGUGCACUGAUGAUGAAGUCUUUUCUCAUUUUGGAAUAGUCUUCACUAAUUUCAAAGACUGGAAUGACAACCGAAAGAUAAGGCUGGCGACGAAUAAUUCGCUUCAGAAAUAAGAUGCUUUUAAAAAUGUUCAGCUAAUUGAAAUGCUUCUUUUAAAUAAACAAUUUUACCUAUA